GCCUGGUUGGCUCAGUGGAUGAGCAUCUGCCUGUGGCUCAGGUUGUGAUCCCGGGGUCCUGGGAUCGAGUCCUGCAUCAGGCU
rnacentral:tRNA from 1 species